rnacentral:tRNA from 1 species
GGGCCGGUAGAUCAGCAGCAGAUCGCAUGCUUCGCAAGCAUGAGGCCGCGGGUGCGAUUCCCGCCCGGUCCA